rnacentral:rRNA from 1 species
CCUACGGGGGGCAGCAGUGGGGGAUAUUGCACAAUGGGGGGAACCCUGAUGCAGCGACGCCGCGUGGGUGAAGGAGCGUUUCGGCGCGUAAAGCCCUAUCGGCAGGGAAGAAGAUGACGGUACCUGGCCAAGAAGCCCCGGCUAACUACGUGCCAGCAGCCGCGGUAAUACGUGGGGGGCAAGCGUUAUCCGGAUUUACUGGGGGUAAAGGGGGCGCAGACGGGAAUGCAAGCCAGGAGUGAAAGCCCGGGGCCCAACCCCGGGACUGCCCUUGGAACUGCAUGGCUGGAGUACAGGAGGGGCAGGCGGAAUGCCUAGUGUAGCGGUGAAAUGCGUAGAUAUUAGGAGGAACACCGGUGGCGAAGGCGGCCUGCUGGACUGUGACUGACGUUGAGGCCCGAAGGCGUGGGGAGCAAACAGGAUUAGAUACCCCGGUAGUC